rnacentral:rRNA from 1 species
UACGAAGGGGGCUAGCGUUGCUCGGAAUCACUGGGCGUAAAGGGUGCGUAGGCGGGUCUUUAAGUCAGGGGUGAAAUCCUGGAGCUCAACUCCAGAACUGCCUUUGAUACUGAAGAUCUUGAGUCCGGGAGAGGUGAGUGGAACUGCGAGUGUAGAAGUGAAAUUCGUAGAUAUUCGCAAGAACACCAGUGGCGAAGGCGGCUCACUGGCCCGGUACUGACGCUGAGGUGCGAAAGCGUGGGGAGCAAACAGG